AACGAACGCUGGCGGCGUGCCUAACACAUGCAAGUCGAACGGGGAUAGGGAGCUUGCUUCCUAUUCUAGUGGCGCACGGGUGAGUAACGCGUAGAUAAUCUGCCUGACGAUCCGGGAUAACAUCUCGAAAGGGGUGCUAAUACCGGAUAAGCCCACGGGGUCUUUGGAUCUUGCGGGAAAAGGGGGGGAACUUUUGGCCUUCUGUCGUCAGAUGAGUCUGCGUACUAUUAGCUAGUUGGUAGGGUAAAGGCCUACCAAGGCUACGAUGGUUAGCUGGUUUGAGAGAAUGAUCAGCCACACUGGAACUGAGACACGGUCCAGACUCCUACGGGAGGCAGCAGUGGGGAAUUUUGCGCAAUGGGCGAAAGCCUGACGCAGCAACGCCGCGUGAGUGAUGAAGGCUUUCGGGUCGUAAAGCUCUGUCGAGGGGAAAGAAGUGUAUUGUGGCUAAUAUCCGCGAUACUUGACGGUACCCCUAAAGGAAGCACCGGCUAACUCCGUGCCAGCAGCCGCCGUAA
rnacentral:rRNA from 1 species